AGGUUUGGGAAGAAAGCAGCAAGGAACCCUAGUGAAGGCCCUAGGGCCAAAGAGCCUAAGGAUGGGUCUUCUAAGGAGAAGAAUUGAAAGGUAAAUCACUCGCAGCCACGGAAACUCCGAGGGGCAACGUCCAGUCUCAUUCGGAGGAUGGAAAGUAAAAUAACGGCUUCCUGAAAGAAGAUGGAAAGACAAGACUUGAAAACAGAUGCCCUUAGAUAAGGUGAGAUGUCUCAGGACAAGAACUCAGCUUGGACCGGAGUCUGUAUAGGUUGGGGCUCACCUGGUCAGCCACACCCGUGUACUGCAUCUGUCAGCAGGGACGUUAAAACUCGGCCUUUUAUGGACCACAAGAAAAAGAGCUGAGAAUAAGUGAGGCAAACAGUGGAUGAACGGAGUUGUUUGUAUAUGUUCACACAUCCAAAAAUGGUGCCGGCAAUAACCCUGUGCAGGUGCCAGGAAACACACAAGAGAAAUGAACUUUUCUGGAACGUCCCCACGGAUGUCUGGCACUGUGUUCAGCACUCUGUGAUGAAGAUCAUUGAAUGAGGCUUGGUCAGUGCUCGUACCAGUCCUUUGAGAUGGUAUUUUCUGCAUUUGACAGAUGAGGAAAUGAGGCUCAGAGAGAUUAAGUACAUUGUCCAAGGUCCCCCAACUGAUGGUAGUAGACCCUAGAUAUAAUCCAAGUCUGUCUUCCUCUAAAAACCAUCCUUUGCCCAUAGGAUCACUCUCUAAACAGAGACUCUUAUAAAAGGGAGGAAGUGGGGGGAACCUUAGAGACCAGGCCU
rnacentral:lncRNA from 1 species